AUGGCUGGUAGCACUUCGGUGACAUCUUCGACUGAUGUUCCAAGAGGCCAUGGGAUUAAAGACGUCAUCAAGUUGGCUGUGCAAUCUGGGGCGAAGGAAUGCAGCGAUCUGUUCUUCACGGCCACCAAGCUUUUUGUGAAUGUGGAUUAUAGAAAGAUGUUUAGUGCUUUGGAGACCAAUGAAGGAAGGCUCGAUUGGCUGAACAGGAUGCAUGAAGAGAUGUAG
rnacentral:rRNA from 1 species